rnacentral:rRNA from 1 species
UACCAGCUCUCCGAGUGGUAGGGAUGAUUAUUGGGCUUAAAGCGUCCGUAGCCGGCUUAGCAAGUCUCCUGUUAAACUCAGCGACCUAAUCGUUGAAUCGCGGGAGAUACUACUAGGCUAGGAGGCGGGAGAGGUCGACGGUACUUCUGGGGUAGGGGUGAAAUCCUAUAAUCCCGGGAGGACCACCAGUGGCGAAGGCUGUCGACUAGAACGCGCUCGACGGUGAGGGACGAAAGCUGGGGUAGCGAACCGGACUAGAUACCCGGGUAGUCCCAGCUGUAAACGAUGCGGGCUAGGUGUUGGGAUGGCUACGUGCCAUUUCAGUGCCGCAGGGAAGCCAUUAAGCCCGCCGCCUGGGGAGUACGGCCGCAAGGCUGAAACUUAAAGGAAUUGGCGGGGAGCACCACAAGGCGUGAAGCUUGCGGUUC